rnacentral:rRNA from 1 species
CUUACCUACGGGACGCAGCAGUGGGGAAUAUUGCGCAAUGGGGGAAACCCUGACGCAGCAACGCCGCGUGAGUGGAGAAGGCCUUCGGGUUGUAAAGCUCUUUAAUCAGGGACGAAGAAUGACGGUACCUGAAGAAUAAGCUCCGGCUAACUACGUGCCAGCAGCCGCGGUAAUACGUAGGGAGCGAGCGUUAUCCGGAUUUACUGGGUGUAAAGGGCGUGUAGGCGGGAGUGCAAG